GCUGCAUUCUGCAGACUGGCAACCGCUUUGUGGCUACUGGAAGCGUGCGUGUUCUCGAGAAGGCUGCCCCGGUCCGAGGCAGCGCUCCCCGGCGGCGCAGCGGAGCCCGGGCCCGGGCGUCCCCCGGCUGCGACCUGCCAGAGCCGCUCCUGGCUCCUGUCCCAAAGAGUGAAUUGGGCUGACGGGCGUAAUAAAAGGAAGCCAAAACCACCCCAACCCAAAUCGACUGGGCGGCAAAGAUGGGUGAUAUCAUCCUGUAGGUAUUUGCACCUGUGUAAGUCUGAUUGACCUGCCAGUUCUACUGUUCACACCACCCAAUUCAAACAUGGUCCCUGACUGGUGCUGUUAUUGCAGAAAGCUGCUUUGAUCACUGCUGCUUUGGCCGUAUCCUCAGCCCGAUAAUUUCCAGUUCCCUUUUCCUGUAUAAACUGUAUUCCUGAUACCCUUGCUACUGAUGCUAUUCGGUGCUUUUUAAAAUUACCCCUUACUAAUUAAACAGCAGGUAAUCAGGGAAGAACCCUAACUACCCUCUUAAUUUUAAUGGUCAGGAAAAUGUACUGACAUCUUCAGCAUCUUGGAUGAAAUCGUUCAGGAACCUGUGAACGUCCUGUGUACUAUAAACAACAAUGAAAACACUGAAGUGUUCUACAGUGUCUACCAAAGAAGAGUCAGGAAACUGGUUUUGCCUGGAAGCUUCAGCCCUGACUUGUUUUCCUGUCACACCUCAGAAUAUGCCCUUUGCCAAAGGGUACUAUAAUGAUAAUGCAGAGCCAGCUGUAUUCUGCACAGAAAUCUUGAGUCAGUGCUAUUCACUGGAGGCAUUACGGCUGCCCUGAGGGCCAAGUGCUUCAGAUGAUGGUAAAAAGAGACUUGGUAAAUGAUACCAAGUAAUCAGUGGUGACCAACAAUAGUUUCUUGCCCCAGAGUGCUCUGAAAACUAAGCCUCCUUAAUAAUCAAACAUUUUAAGGCAGCUAAAAGAAAGGCUUGUAUGAUCUCUUUGAAGGAUCUCUCCUUGGAGAUUAUUUUUUCCUUUUCUACCAGUUUCAUGCCAGAGUAACAUCACUGGUACCAAAAGCAUUGUAUCUAAUUUACAAGCAAUGUAAGUAGGCAGAGAAAGAUGUCUUUUGCACAUGGUCUUA